rnacentral:rRNA from 1 species
AGUGAACGCUGGCGGUAGGCCUAACACAUGCAAGUCGAACGGCAGCACAGUAAGAGCUUGCUCUUACGGGUGGCGAGUGGCGGACGGGUGAGGAAUACAUCGGAAUCUACUUUUUCGUGGGGGAUAACGUAGGGAAACUUACGCUAAUACCGCAUACGACCUACGGGUGAAAGCAGGGGAUCUUCGGACCUUGCGCGAUUGAAUGAGCCGAUGUCGGAUUAGCUAGUUGGCGGGGUAAAGGCCCACCAAGGCGACGAUCCGUAGCUGGUCUGAGAGGAUGAUCAGCCACACUGGAGCUGAGACACGGUCCAGACUCCUACGGGAGGCAGCAGUGGGGAAUAUUGGACAAAGGGCGCAAGCCUGAUCCAGCCAUACCGCGUGGGUGAAGAAGGCCUUCGGGUUGUAAAGCCCUUUUGUUGGGAAAGAAAAGCAGCAGGUUAAUACCCCGCUGUUCUGACGGUACCCAAAGAAUAAGCACCGGCUAACUUCGUG